CUAACUUACUGAUGUCAGGAUACACACUUCCCACCACAGAGAAAAAGAAAUUGUCGUUAUUAUUGACAUUUUACUUUCCACAACCCCAAAAACAGUGACAAAGAAAACACUAAGUUCUGUGACGUUUAUAUUGCAGGAACUGUAGCAUCUGCAAUUUAGUCCAAAGGUGACUUUGUCCAAAAGAAAUUUUUGAUAAAUAGUAUCAUGGUUCAUUGAUGUAUUUUUGGCUUUCCUCUUUCCUUCCUUUUAUAUUUCUACCCUUCUUUCUUUCUUUCUUUUCUUCAUUUGUAUCUCUUCUUAUCUUUUUCUUUAUUCCCUUCCUUUGUUUCUUAACGUUUCAUGUCAACACUUAUUCAAUGGCUACUAUAUGCAAGUAUGAAUAAGAAAUCCUGAUUUGAAGAAAAAUUACAGUCUAUUAGAAGCCCAGAGAUUUAACAGUAAGUGCAUGUUAGAAAGGACUCUUGUGUUCUCUUGAAAUAACAGUGCUGGAAAAUAGGAAAAUGUUCAUAGCUGAGGGAAACCAUCUUAUCUGAAUU